ACAGCAGCCGCCAGGUAAUACAGAGGGUGCGAGCGUUAAUCGGAUUUACUGGGCGUAAAGCGUGCGUAGGCGGCUAAUUGAGUCGGAUGUGAAAUCCCUGAGCUUAACUUAGGAAUUGCAUUCGAUACUGGGAAGCUAGAGUAUGGGAGAGGAUGGUAGAAUUCCAGGUGUAGCGGUGAAAUGCGUAGAGAUCUGGAGGAAUACCGAUGGCGAAGGCAGCCAUCUGGCCUAAUACUGACGCUGAGGUACGAAAGCAUGGGGAGCAAACAGGAUUAGAUACCCGCGUAGUCCCUGUCUCUUAUACA
rnacentral:rRNA from 1 species